rnacentral:lncRNA from 1 species
AGCCGGGCAUGGUGGAGCAUGCCUGUAGUCCCAGCUACUCGGGAGGCUGAGCCCAGGAGUUUGAGGUUGCUGUGAGCUAGGCUGACGUCACGGCACUCACUCUAGCCUGGGCAACAAAGCGAGACUCUGUCUCAAAAAAAAAAAAAAAAAAUUUCCAGGGAAGGAUCUGAUUGGUCCUGCCUAGGUCACAGGUCCAGUCCUUGCACCAAUCACUGUUGCCAAAAGGACCUGCUGCUUCCAUGGUUGUCUUGUGUGGGCCCUGCAUCAGCCACCCAAGGGCCACCCAUGACAGGGGCAGGGGCAGAGGAUCAGGAGGUCCUUGAACACCCCAGCUUCAGCCCCAGGGAGCCCUUCCGCCCUCAAGCACAGCUCCUGAGAAGGUGCCAGACACAUCGGAUCUGUCAGGGCGCCAGUGCAUCCAGUGGCAACCAACGUCGCUGACACUGACCAUCACCUGGAGGAAAACUCCUGAAGCCACUUGCUUUUCACGGUAACACCAGUGUCAUUAGCCCAAUAUACAGAUGAAGAAACCAAGAUUCAGAGAGGUCCAACAUCCCUCAGGGGCACGGCCUUUGGGACCACACAGUCAAGAUGCCUUUGGCGCCAGUUCUGAGCUCAGGACCAGUGCACAGGCUUUUAAGAAGCUCUCCCCUGGAUCCCAGGAGCUUGCCUCCCCCUCUUGCCUUGUCCUUCAGGCCAGCCUAGGGGCCCUCACGCCCACCUCUGUGGCUGCCCUGGCAACAUCAGGGAAGACAUGACUGUGCCUCCCGC